UGUAGUCUGCAACUCGACUACAUGAAGCUGGAAUCGCUAGUAAUCGCGAAUCAGAAUGUCGCGGUGAAUACGUUCCCGGGUCUUGUACACACCGCCCGUCACACCAUGGGAGUCGGAAAUGCCCGAAGUCAGUGACCUAACCGAAAGGAGGGAGCUGCCGAAGGUGGAGCCGGUAACUGGGGUGAAGUCGUAACAAGGUAAC
rnacentral:rRNA from 1 species